AGUGAACGCUGGCGGCGUGCUUAACACAUGCAAGUCGAACGAGAACGGAUUAUAGCUUGCUAUAAUUGUCAGCUAAGUGGCGCAGGGGUGAGUAAUGUAUAGGUAAUAUGCCUCUUACUAAGGGAUAACAAAUGGAAACGUUUGCUAAUACCUUAUACUCCUUAUUAACAUAAGUUAAUAAGGGAAAGAUUUAUUGGUAAGAGAUUAGCCUGUAUUGUAUCAGUUAGUUGGUGGGGUAAUGGCUUACCAAGACUAUGACACAUAACUGGUUUGAGAGGAUGAUCAGUCACACUGGAACUGAGACACGGUCCAGACUCCUACGGGAGGCAGCAGUGGGGAGUAUUGCACAAUGGACGAAAGUCUGAUGCAGCAACGCCGCGUGGAGGAUGACACAUUUCGGUGCGUAAACUCCUUUUAUAUGAGAAGAUAAUGACGGUAUUAUAUGAAUAAGCACCGGCUAACUCCGUGCCAGCCGCCGCUGUAA
rnacentral:rRNA from 1 species